rnacentral:rRNA from 1 species
AGAGUUUGAUCAUGGCUCAGGAUGAACGCUAGCGGCAGGCUUAACACAUGCAAGUCGAGGGGUAACAUUGUGCUUGCACAGAUGACGACCGGCGCACGGGUGCGUAACGCGUAUAGAACCUACCUUUUACAGAGGGAUAGCCUUUAGAAAUGAAGAUUAAUACCUUAUAGUAUUGCGACUUGGCAUCGAGUUGUAAUUAAAGAUUUAUCGGUAAAAGAUGGCUAUGCGUCCUAUUAGUUAGAUGGUAAGGUAACGGCUUACCAUGACUAUGAUAGGUAGGGGUCCUGAGAGGGAGAUCCCCCACACUGGUACUGAGACACGGACCAGACUCCUACGGGAGGCAGCAGUGAGGAAUAUUGGGCAAUGGAGGCAACUCUGACCCAGCCAUGCCGCGUGCAGGAAGACUGCCCUAUGGGUUGUAAACUGCUUUUAUACAGGAAGAAACACUAGUACGUGUACUAGCUUGACGGUACUGUAAGAAUAAGGACCGGCUAACUCCGUGCCAGCAGCCGCGGUAAUACGGAGGGUCCGAGCGUUAUCCGGAAUCAUUGGGUUUAAAGGGUCCGCAGGCGGUCAAUUAAGUCAGAGGUGAAAUCCCAUAGCUUAACUAUGGAACUGCCUUUGAUACUGGUUGACUUGAGUCAUAUGGAAGUAGAUAGAAUGUGUAGUGUAGCGGUGAAAUGCAUAGAUAUUACACAGAAUACCGAUUGCGAAGGCAGUCUACUACGUAUGUACUGACGCUGAGGGACGAAAGCGUGGGGAGCGAACAGGAUUAGAUACCCUGGUAGUCCACGCCGUAAACGAUGGAUACUAGUUGUUGGGCAUUUGCUCAGUGACUAAGCGAAAGUGAUAAGUAUCCCACCUGGGGAGUACGGUCGCAAGACUGAAACUCAAAGGAAUUGACGGGGGCCCGCACAAGCGGUGGAGCAUGUGGUUUAAUUCGAUGAUACGCGAGGAACCUUACCAGGGCUUAAAUGUAGUAUGACAGGUUUAGAGAUAGACUUUUCUUCGGACAUAUUACAAGGUGCUGCAUGGUUGUCGUCAGCUCGUGCCGUGAGGUGUCAGGUUAAGUCCUAUAACGAGCGCAACCCCUGUCGUUAGUUGCCAGCAUGUUAUGAUGGGGACUCUAACGAGACUGCCUACGCAAGUAGAGAGGAAGGUGGGGAUGACGUCAAAUCAUCACGGCCCUUACGUCCUGGGCCACACACGUGCUACAAUGGUAUGGACAAUGAGCAGCCAUCUGGCAACAGAGAGCGAAUCUAUAAACCAUAUCACAGUUCGGAUCGGAGUCUGCAACUCGACUUCGUGAAGCUGGAAUCGCUAGUAAUCGGAUAUCAGCCAUGAUCCGGUGAAUACGUUCCCGGGCCUUGUACACACCGCCCGUCAAGCCAUGGAAGCUGGGAGUGCCUGAAGUCGGUCACCGCAAGGAGCCGCCUAGGGUAAAACUGGUAACUAGGGCUAAGUCGUAACAAGGUA